rnacentral:rRNA from 1 species
UUAAGUGACUAAGCGUACAAGGUGGAUGCCUUGGCAAUCAGAGGCGAUGAAGGACGUGCUAAUCUGCGAAAAGCUUGGAUGAGUCGAUAAGAGGCGUUUAAUCCAAGAUGUCCGAAUGGGGAAACCCAGUAGAUGAAGAAUCUACUAUCACUUACUGAAUCCAUAGGUAAGUGAGGCAAACCGGGAGAACUGAAACAUCUAAGUACCCCGAGGAAAAGAAAUCAACCGAGAUUUCGUUAGUAGCGGCGAGCGAACGCGAAGGAGCCUGUUAGUGAUAAUGACAGAGACAGAGGAACAAGCUGGGAAGCUUGGCGAUACAGGGUGAUAGCCCCGUACUCGAAGUCCAGGUCAUGGUACUAAGCUAACGAUAAGUAGGGCGGGACACGUGAUAUCCUGUUUGAAGAUGGGGGGACCAUCCUCCAAGGCUAAAUACUCCUGAUUGACCGAUAGUGAACCAGUACUGUGAAGGAAAGGCGAAAAGAACCCCGGUGAGGGGAGUGAAAUAGAACCUGAAACCUUGUACGUACAAGCAGUGGGAGCCCUUUUGGGGUGACUGCGUACCUUUUGUAUAAUGGGUCAGCGACUUAUAUUUUGUAGCGAGGUUAACCGAAUAGGGGAGCCGAAGGGAAACCGAGUCUUAACUGGGCGUCUAGUUGCAAGGUAUAGACCCGAAACCCGGUGAUCUAGCCAUGGGCAGGUUGAAGGUUGGGUAACACUAACUGGAGGACCGAACCGACUAAUGUUGAAAAAUUAGCGGAUGACUUGUGGCUGGGGGUGAAAGGCCAAUCAAACCGGGAGAUAGCUGGUUCUCCCCGAAAUCUAUUUAGGUAGAGCCUUGAGCGGACACCUUCGGGGGUAGAGCACUGUUUCGGCUAGGGGUCCAUCCCGGAUUACCAACCCGAUGCAAACUACGAAUACCGAAGAGUGAUACUCAGGAGACACACGGCGGGUGCUAACGUCCGUCGUGGAGAGGGAAACAACCCAGACCGCCAGCUAAGGUCCCAAAGUCUAUAUUAAGUGGGAAACGAAGUGGGAAGGCUUAGACAGCUAGGAUGUUGGCUUAGAAGCAGCCAUCAUUUAAAGAAAGCGUAAUAGCUCACUAGUCGAGUCGGCCUGCGCGGAAGAUGUAACGGGGCUCAAAUAUAGCACCGAAGCUGCGGCAUCAGACGAAAGUCUGUUGGGUAGGGGAGCGUUCUGUAAGCGGAUGAAGGUGGUUCGAGAGGGCUGCUGGACGUAUCAGAAGUGCGAAUGCUGACAUAAGUAACGAUAAAACGGGUGAAAAACCCGUUCGCCGGAAGACCAAGGGUUCCUGUCCAACGUUAAUCGGGGCAGGGUGAGUCGGCCCCUAAGGCGAGGCUGAAAAGCGUAGUCGAUGGGAAACGGGUUAAUAUUCCCGUACUUGGAUAAACUGCGAUGUGGGGACGGAGCAGGUUAGGUUAUCGCACUGUUGGAUAUGUGCGUUUAAGUUGGUAGGUGUGAAGUUUAGGCAAAUCCGGACUUCUUUAACACCGAGAGAUGAUGACGAGGCUCUACGGAGCUGAAGUAACCGAUACCACACUUCCAGGAAAAGCCACUAAGCUUCAGGUUUAUCUAAACCGUACUGAAAACCGACACAGGUGGUCAGGUAGAGAAUACUCAGGCGCUUGAGAGAACUCGGGUGAAGGAACUAGGCAAAAUAGCACCGUAACUUCGGGAGAAGGUGCGCCGGCGUAGAUUGUAGUCCCUUGCGGGCGAAGGUUGAACCGGUCGAAGAUACCAGCUGGCUGCAACUGUUUAUUAAAAACACAGCACUCUGCAAACACGAAAGUGGACGUAUAGGGUGUGAUGCCUGCCCGGUGCUGGAAGGUUAAUUGAUGGUGUAAUCGAAAGAGAAGCUCCUGAUCGAAGCCCCAGUAAACGGCGGCCGUAACUAUAACGGUCCUAAGGUAGCGAAAUUCCUUGUCGGGUAAGUUCCGAC